AACAUUGAUUGGAUACCUACUCUGCAAGACAGUGUCAAGUACCUUUCUUUUCCCAAUCUUAAAAAGACAAAAAGGAGAAACACUCUGAAGAUAGAACUUAAUAACAUCUUCUUUUAUGAAUGAAGACACUAAGGUUCAAAGACAUAAAUAAGGUGCCCAAGGCCAAAAACUAGCAAAGGACUACUGAAAUCUGAUUCCAGAGAUGCUGUUUUCCCUGGUCUAUUCCUCAGUGUAAUAGAUAUUUCUAGCUAUUUAUUUUGAUGCCAAGGAAUUUUCUAUACACAAGCCUUGCAUUUAGAAGCUUUAUUUUAGAAAAAAAAAAUUCAUUCUGACAUAUUCCAAAUCUGGAACUAUAUACCAGAAGAGUAUCCGUUUUAUUCACCAAUCCCAGGACCUUAAUACAAUCGUGUUUUUGGUUUCAGGAUUACACACUGAAAGGCAGUGUGGAACAGAGAGAAAAUAUAACACAGUAAUGGACACUAGCAGAUCAAGAUUUGGAUCUCAAAUCUGCCAAAGACUAGCAGUAAGAUCUUGGCAAAUUACCUAACUUCUUUAGACCUCAAUUUCCAUUCCAUAAUCAAGAUGAUCUCGAAGGUGUCUUCCAGUUCUAGAAGUUAUCUAUACAUUUUUAACAGUCUGUCAUAAGAAAAGUGAUUUUCAAUUAUUCAUUCAACACAGAAUUGUACCUUCUUUUAAAAAGCCCUUAGGAAAAUAAAUGUGUUGUCUUAUGUUCCCCCGAUACGAUGGACUGAUACUAACAUAUUUAAAGGAUCUACAUAAGAAUUACUUUUGUUUAGAAAGAGUUUAGGUGAAACUAUUUUGCUUCAGAUCAAGUGAUAGGAAAAUAAAUUUGCCUCUAAGAGGAAGAACAACAAUGAGAACGCUAUUGAGAUAAAGCUUCAAGUAUCAAAUUAUGGUCACGUUAGGGGUGGAGUCAGUGUGUCCACCUGUUUGUAUCAAGAUUCAGGCCUGUAGGCAAGAGCCUAAGAAAAUGUUAUAGCUGAAUCAUUAAUCCAUCAUUAUGCAACUUAUGGAAAGUAAUUAGCUAAGGACUUGUUCACAGUUGAGAUAGGUACAAAAUAUAAUUUCCUUUAAAUUAAGAAGGAAAUUUAGGUCAAGCACUCUGAGUUCAUUUAUUUAUGCACUUCCACGUAAAGGUUUUGAAUUAGAAGCUAUCCCUCACCAUUAUCUCACAUAGACAAACUUUUGUUUCCUUUUGGAAGAAAGCAAAUCUUUAUAGAGACCAUUUGAAGUCUCAUAAUUGCAGAAAGAAAAUUGGAUGUGCCCUAUGAGACAAUUAGCACCUACUAGUUUAACCUCCACAAUUAAUGAAUGACGGCUUAACUACCUUGCGCUUAAAUUCUGGGGAGGAUUAAACGAGUUUUCCGAAGAGGAUUUUUUUUCUUUUUUUAAGAAAAAUCAUUGAUAAAUGUAGUCUCUUAGUGAGCUAUGUCCAUGUGUUUUGUUUUGUUUUCAUCGUCUUGGAAACUUCACACUCACAAAUUCUCCCAAAAAGUUUAAAAGUGACCCUCCCUCCUGUGUGGCUGUUCUGUCAUUCACAUUCAGAAUCAGUGGGGAUUUCCAAUAAAGGCCGCAUUGACCGCAGAGAACAAUGUUGCUAGAUUGUGCAGAUUGCAUGUGGGGAAAUAAAAUACUCAUGAAAAUUGCCUUCUUGAAGUGAAUGUCAGCAUUUCUAAGUUUGAUUUUUAUUUUAUUUCACAGUCAAUUUUUUUUUUCUGCAAGAAAGCAUUCCUAAUAGAAGUCAGUGAUAGAAAGAUGCUUGAUUUUUUUUGCAUUUCUGGCAUACAUUUCUUUCAUAAUUUUAAUCAAGUUAAAAAGAAUCAAUUGCUUCUAAAUGAAGUUGUAAAUAUUACUGAUGCAAAAAAAAAAAAGAAUCAAUCUACUAAGACUGGUGGGAUGCAAGGGGAAGAGAGCAUAUUUUUUGUUAUGUGAUCUCAUUAAGCAUUACAUUGGCAUUUUUUUCUUAGUUAGUGGUAUUUUUUCUUAGUUAUUAUGAUCCAUUCAGUUGUGUCUCAUUCCAUCACUGCUGACUUGCUCUUGUGUGUUUAUGACUUGAAACUGCGCAUUUGAGGAGAAGCCAAGAAAUCUUGAUGAAAUAUUUAAUCUCAUCAAAGAUUAUCAUCUUUCCCCUACCUUGGUAACCUAUUUAUACCACUUUGCUAUUAAAAAUAUAUAUAUAUAUAUUAUUUUUGGUCACAAGGAAUAUAUUUAAGUCAAGUUCCCUUAACAGUUGCUGUCAAUGUCAUUUUGUCAGCCUGUCCAGUUGUAGCACCACACAAGAACAAAAAAUAAAGGUAUAGGUGCUUCCCUGGUGGGAUUUGGUGGAGUGAUAUUUUUUACUUGAACUGGAAAAGAAGAUUAAGCAAAUCCCCUGAUCAGUUUGGACAAAUUAUGAUUUGAACUUUGUUUGUUUGUUUCUUUCUUUCUUUCUAAUCAGGAAUAAUGCUGUAUCAAAGUUCUGAUUUUCCUACUUUACACAUUUCAGUAGAAAAUACGUCAUCUUUUGUCUUUCAUGCCCCCUUUGCCACCAAGGUGAAAGCGGCAUUGCUCUAAUUGGCUACCAGCGGUUCAUUCAGGGAGGCUGCCUGGUUAAGUCACUGUGGAGCGUUUGUAGAAGACAGCAUCCCCCUUGACCUUGUAAAAGGUAAAGGAGGUCAGACAUGGGUUCAACAGAGGCACUCUCUCGCCAAGGAGACUGGCAUGACAAAGUAAUCAUUGUGUGUCACUUUUCAUUAAUCACACCACUUUCCUUUUCAUAAACUACCAGCAGAUAAUUGUUACUAAAUGUGAUUUGCAACACUCCAUGCCUUGGUUGAAGAACCAGAAAUAGGCAAACAGAUAAAAACAUUGUUUAGCUUGCAGGCAAGCAAGUGUUUGCUAUUCAGAGGUACAUCAUGCAUAAACAUUGAUUUAGCCAUGAGCUGACACUUAUAAAGCUUUUGCUGCUUCCAGAAAGCCCUGUGGUCAGGCUAAGUAAUAGCCAAGGGCAAGCACUUUUACCUGUAUGGCAAGGUUGCAUUCUAUUUAAAUUGCCUGAUCUGAAAUAAAUCAGUUUCCCUAAUGUUAGAUGGCUGCACGAUUGCCAUUGGUGAGAAUCAAGAGUGUUAAAUAAAAUGUUUGCCUUUAUGGUGAAAGACUCCUAGAGGGCAGUUUGUUGAUUUUGAAUAAAUAUUUCAUUAAGUCCGAGGGGCUGCACAUAAUUUGGUAGCUGAGGAUUUAUUUAAAUCAAUGUAGAUUUCCACCUUGCUUUAAUAAAAGUUACAUUUAUGCACAACCAACAAAACUUAAAAAAAAAAAUCAGGGCUUCUUGAUAUUUAAACCCCUCCAAAGUAAUUGAUAGUACUUUCAAAUGUGCAGGUGGGUUUGGUACAGGAUGAGCUGUGGUCUCCUACCCCUGGGUUCAUUAUAGGAAGCAGCCUAGUUCUGUACAGUCUGCUCAGGUCAGUGGUCCUGAGCAUAGAAUACAUGUGCAGCAUAUCCCAAACUGAUGCUAUGGAAAUUUUGCUGGACACAUUGAAGCAAGUCCAUAGUGCAACACUUCUCUCCCCAUAACACCAUAGUGCAACUGUGGUGUUAUUAGCUCAACACUGUCAAUAAGCCAUGACAGCAAAGAGAAGACAAUCAGUGCUGAAGAUGGACACAGCAGGAGAGGGGAACCAGGACUGUGGUCCUUGUUUUCAGACUCUUCCUUGCUCUUGCUCAUUCUGUUUUCUCUCUUUCAGUCAUUAUGAUUUCAUCUCAGUUCUAAGAUGCGUGACUGCCUUAUUUGAUAUUUAGAUGCCUAAACACAAUCGACAAAUUCGAUAUUGACAAUCUGUACCAACACCAAAGAGGGUCUUUAGGAGAAAAUGUGUUUAAAUUGAAAAAAAAAAAAUAAAACUUUUUUUUUUCCUAAAAAUAAAAAUAAGGGAAGGCAGAUUAUCAAACCCAACUUCUCAAAGUUUUAUCAGUGGAUAAUAUGCUUGUCAAACAAAACAUAAUAUGUAGAGGGGGGGAAAUCAUAUUUUGGUAGAAUAGAAAAAGUAAUUUGAUCAGAUCCAAACAGAUUUCUUAUUUAUUAGGUUGAGUUAUUUUCUUACAUAAAAUCUAUUUUGCCAAUAGUUUGUUGAUUCUGAAAAAGUGUUUUCACAAAGCAUAUGAAAGUAAGAAUCAGCAACAAUAAUGCAUAAUAUGGAUUUAUAAAAUCACAGUAUACUCACUGCUAAAAUGAGUCCCCAUUGCAUAUGCAGAAAUAGUCUUAUAUUUUUAUGGAUCUCAAUUUCAUCAGGUGCUCAUGUCUUUUAUCAUGAUAACUUCGGUGGUCAUUAAUCUUUAUCAUUAGUUUUUAGACACUGGUCACGUUUAGAGCAGUUAGCAUCUCAUGAAACAAACAUGCUGCAUGAUUGUAAGCAUAACUCUUCCCCAUCU
rnacentral:lncRNA from 1 species